UCGAGAAUCUUCCACAAUGGACGAAAGUCUGAUGGAGCGACGUCGCGUGAUGGACGAAGUGCUUCGGCACGUAAACAUCUUUUUAUGUGGGACGAAAUUAUUGACGGUACCACAUGAAUAAGGGGCUCCUAACUCUGUGCCAGCAGGAGCGGUAAUACAGAGGCCCCAAGCGUUAUCCGGAAUCACUGGGCGUAAAGGGUGUCGAGGCGGUCAUGUUAGUCGUUCGUAAAAUCCGUGGGCUCAACCUACGGCCGGCGAGCGAAACGGCAUGACUUGAGGUUUGGAGAGGUGCGUGGAACUCACGGUGUAGGGGUGAAAUCCGUUGAUAUCGUGGGGAACACCAAAGGCGAAGGCAGCGCACUGGCCAAAAUCUGACGCUCACACACGAAAGCUAGGGUAGCGAACGGGAUUAGAUACCCAAGUAGUCCCUGAGCGGGCUGGCAAGGCGCAU
rnacentral:rRNA from 1 species